AUGCUGAAGCUAGUACGGGACCACAUUGAGGAGGGGGCAAAAAUCACCGGCACACCGGAGUGCCCCCCCUUCGCUCGCAAGCCCCGAGCUAGAGUGCACUUGGGGCCGCGAACGCUGUCAGGUACCCGAUUUGGGGGCGAGCGAGUCACCAGCAAGAUCGCCAAAGCCUUCCCCCUGGAGGAGGCUUUGGUGUUGUUCCCAAAGCCGGGGGACUGGCUGGUGGGGCGAGCAGAGGAAAUCCCCACCACACGCCACCACCGAGGGCGAUGUUGUGCGGGAGGCUGGAGCGCUGUGUCCCCGACGGCUGGGAAGGACCAGUGCACACGGGCUGCCCCCGUCACCCUGCGCUGUCCAGAGACCCGUGGAUUCCUCGAGGCCCGUCGGGGGCGCCCCUCGGCCCAGAGCAUUUGGGCAGGGUGGGGGUGGCGGGACCCAGGUCCAGUCCCCAGUCCCCGGCUGGGCGCUGCCCCAGGAGCCGCAGAGAGCGAUGGCACUCACAAGGCGCAGUUGAGUGCACCCACUCGAGGGGUUCCCUUUGCGGACUCACCCCCGAGAGCACUUAAGUGCGCACCCACUUUGGCUCUGGUCCAUUGCCACUCACACGGAAACUCCUACGCAAACAGCACACACAUCCGCGCCUACACUCAGCUUUACAAACACGCUUCCACACGCGCGCACACACAAACACGCACUCACGUACACUUUCCCUCACAAAUGUACUCGUAUACACGGCCAUACCAAGCACAUUUACACAGACACACAACCGCAAACACACAUACAGCGCUGUGCAACCCCCAAUACACUAAUAAACAGGAAACAUUCCCCUGGGCAUUAAAUCCUCACGUUCACGUACAUAUACAAACACAUACCCUACGCCCCCCUCCCUUUCACACCCAGAAGCCGCCCCCCGCUCGUGAUUUGCUGCACCCUCAGUCCCAAAUCAUAAUCGGCGCCCGCACAGCACGGGUUGGACACACACACUCGCGCGCAAGCAAGCCUCUCCUCCCAGCACAGGCGGGGGAGGCUUCGGCCCCGCGCCGGUUUCGGAUUCCAGGUGUGGCUGGUACUCCGCGCUCCGUGUUUUGCAGUCCGCCGCGGUGUCGGAGGCGAGGCGAGGAAGGGAGCUGGAAUAACAAAGGCAAGUUGGGGAGAGCGCAAGGGGGCGCAGCCCCGGCCGGGCCGCGGGGGGAGCCCUGCACGGCCUGGGUUUUGCAGGCUGCGAGGGUCUCGGGCGCCAGGAGCCGGAGGUGGGGAGGGAGUGGGGGGGCGAGUGGGGGUCGAGGGGCGGGGCCGCGGCGUGACGUCAGAGAACAAUGA
rnacentral:lncRNA from 1 species